rnacentral:rRNA from 1 species
UUAAGUGAAUAAGGGCGCACGGUGGAUGCCUUGGCACUAGGAGCCGAUGAAGGACGGGACUAACACCGAUAUGCUUUGGGGAGCUGUACGUAAGCUAUGAUCCAGAGAUUUCCGAAUGGGGGAACCCAGCAUCUUUAAUAGGAUGUUACGAUUGUGUGAAUACAUAGCAUAUUCGAGGUAGACGCAGAGAACUGAAACAUCUAAGUACCUGCAGGAAGAGAAAGAAAAUUCGAUUCCCUGAGUAGCGGCGAGCGAAACGGGAAAAGCCCAAACCAGCAAGCUUGCUUGUUGGGGUUGUAGGACUCCAAUAUGGUAGUUCUUUCAGAUAGUCGAAUGACUUGGAAAAGUCAGUCAAAGAGGGUAAAAACCCCGUAGACGAAAUGUGGAAGACACCUAGGAGGAUCCUGAGUACGGCGGAACACGAGAAAUUCCGUCGGAAUCCGGGAGGACCAUCUCCCAAGGCUAAAUACUCCCUAGUGACCGAUAGUGAACCAGUACCGUGAGGGAAAGGUGAAAAGCACCCCGGAAGGGGAGUGAAAUAGAACCUGAAACCGUGUGCCUACAACAAGUCAAAGCCCGUUAAUGGGUGAUGGCGUGCCUUUUGUAGAAUGAACCGGCGAGUUACGAUUGCAUGCGAGGUUAAGUUGAAGAGACGGAGCCGCAGCGAAAGCGAGUCUGAAUAGGGCGUUUGAGUAUGUAGUCGUAGACCCGAAACCAUGUGAUCUACCCAUGUCCAGGUUGAAGGUGCGGUAAAACGCACUGGAGGACCGAACCCACGUACGUUGAAAAGUGCGGGGAUGAGGUGUGGGUAGCGGAGAAAUUCCAAACGAACUUGGAGAUAGCUGGUUCUCUCCGAAAUAGCUUUAGGGCUAGCCUCGGAAUUGAGAAUGAUGGAGGUAGAGCACUGUUUGGACUAGGGGCCCAUCUCGGGUUACCGAAUUCAGAUAAACUCCGAAUGCCAUUCAUUCAUAUCCGGGAGUCAGACUGUGAGUGAUAAGAUCCAUAGUCGAAAGGGAAACAGCCCAGACCACCAGCUAAGGUCCCAAAAUAUAUGUUAAGUGGAAAAGGAUGUGGGGUUGCACAGACAACUAGGAUGUUGGCUUAGAAGCAGCCACCAUUUAAAGAGUGCGUAAUAGCUCACUAGUCGAGUGACCCUGCGCCGAAAAUGUACCGGGGCUAAACAUAUUACCGAAGCUGUGGAGUACACCUUUAGGUGUAUUGGUAGGAGAGCGUUCUAAGGGCGUUGAAGGCAGAUCGUGAGGACUGCUGGAGCGCUUAGAAGUGAGAAUGCCGGUAUGAGUAGCGAAAGACAGCCGCUUUAACUUUUCUCAUGGUGACCAUGAAGAACAAUUAUCACGUAUGACUAUGGUCCGUGAAGCAGUUAAAACCGAGGCCGACAGGCGUAGGCGAUGGAUAACAGGUUGAUAUUCCUGUACCCGUUGUUUUUGUUUGAGCAAUGGAGGGACGCAGGAGGCUAAGGAAUGCAGACGAUCGGAAAUGUCUGUCCAAGCAGUAAGUCUGAAGAGGAGUCAAAUGCUUCUUUUCUUAAGGACAAGCUGUGAUGGGGAGGGAAAUAAUAGUACCGAAGUUCCUGAUGUCACACUGCCGAGAAAAGCUUCUAGUGAGAAAACAGCGGCCCGUACCGCAAACCGACACAGGUAGUCGAGGAGAGAAUCCUAAGGUGAGCGAGAGAACUCUCGUUAAGGAACUCGGCAAAAUGACCCCGUAACUUCGGGAGAAGGGGUGCUGAUCAUACGAUCAGCCGCAGUGAAUAGGCCCAAGCGACUGUUUAUCAAAAACACAGGUCUCUGCAAAAUCGUAAGAUGAAGUAUAGGGGCUGACGCCUGCCCGGUGCUGGAAGGUUAAGAGGAGUGCUUAGCGCAAGCGAAGGUACGAAUUGAAGCCCCAGUAAACGGCGGCCGUAACUAUAACGGUCCUAAGGUAGCGAAAUUCCUUGUCGGGUAAGUUCCGACCCGCACGAAAGGCGUAACGAUUUGGGCACUGUCUCAACGAGAGACUCGGUGAAAUUUUAGUACCUGUGAAGAUGCAGGUUACCCGCGACAGGACGGAAAGACCCCAUGGAGCUUUACUGUAGUUUGAUAUUGAGUGUCUGUACCGCAUGUACAGGAUAGGUAGGAGCCGUAGAAAUCGGAACGCUUGGCACAGAUGCAACAAUGCUAUCUGGUGAAUCUGCAAACGGGGACUACCCAGUUGCACCACUAAUCGUGGUGGGAGACAGUGUCAGAUGGGCAGUUUGACUGGGGCGGUCGCCUCCUAAAAGGUAACGGAGGCGCCCAAAGGUUCCCUCAGAAUGGUUGGAAAUCAUUCGAAGAGUGUAAAGGCAGAAGGGAGCUUGACUGCGAGACCAACAAGUCGAGCAGGGACGAAAGUCGGGCUUAGUGAUCCGGUGGUUCCGCAUGGAAGGGCCAUCGCUCAACGGAUAAAAGCUACCCUGGGGAUAACAGGCUUAUCUCCCCCAAGAGUCCACAUCGACGGGGAGGUUUGGCACCUCGAUGUCGGCUCGUCGCAUCCUGGGGCUGUAGUCGGUCCCAAGGGUUGGGCUGUUCGCCCAUUAAAGCGGCACGCGAGCUGGGUUCAGAACGUCGUGAGACAGUUCGGUCCCUAUCCGUCGCGGGCGUUGGAAAUUUGAGAGGAGCUGUCCUUAGUACGAGAGGACCGGGAUGGACUUACCGCUGGUGUACCAGUUGUUCUGCCAAGGGCAUUGCUGGGUAGCUAUGUAGGGAAGGGAUAAACGCUGAAAGCAUCUAAGUGUGAAGCCCACCUCAAGAUGAGAUUUCCCAUUUCUUUAAGAAAGUAAGAUCCCUGAGAGAUGAUCAGGUAGAUAGGUCAGGAGUGGAAGUACAGUGAUGUAUGGAGCGGACUGAUACUAAUCGAUCGAGGACUUAACC